UACGUAGGGCGCAAGCGUUAUCCGGAAUUAUUGGGCGUAAAGAGCUCGUAGGCGGUUUGUCGCGUCUGCCGUGAAAGUCCGGGGCUCAACUCCGGAUCUGCGGUGGGUACGGGGCAGACUAGAGUGCGGUAGGGGAGAUUGGAAUUCCUGGUGUAGCGGUGGAAAUGCGCAGAUAUCAGGAGGAACACCGUGGCGGUAAGCG
rnacentral:rRNA from 1 species